GGUACUUGUACACGUUGCGGCGCAACGAUAGUAAAAGA
rfam:Treponema pedis str. T A4, complete genome.